UUCCCCAUUUGACUGCCACAUUUUCUCCUAACAGAAUUUAGUGGCUACGCUUGUAGGAUAGGUUAAAGGUGCCAUGAUAUGAACUGAAGAGGGAGGGUUUUUCAAUGUCCAUUAACUAGCUGAACAGAAAUAU
ensembl:snoRNA